ACGGAGGGUGCGAGCGUUGUUCGGAAUUAUUGGGCGUAAAGCGCGUGUAGGCGGUCUUUUAAGUCUGAUGUGAAGGCCCCGGGCUCAACCUGGGAAGUGCAUUGGAAACUGGGAGACUUGAAUACGGGAGAGGGUAGUGGAAUUCCUAGUGUAGGGGUGAAAGCCGUAGAUAUUAGGAGGAACACCAGUGGCGAAGGCGGCUACCUGGACCGAAAUUGACGCUGAGACGCGAAAGCGUGGGGAGCAAACAG
rnacentral:rRNA from 1 species